rnacentral:rRNA from 1 species
GAUGAACGCUAGCGGCAGGCUUAACACAUGCAAGUCGAGGGGUAGGUUACUUCGGUAAUUGAGACCGGCGCACGGGUGCGUAACGCGUAUACAAUCUACCUUUUACAGAGGGAUAGCCCCAGAGAAAUUUGGAUUAAUACCUCAUAGUAUUUUUGAAUCGCAUGAUUUGAUUAUUAAAGUUCCAACGGUAAAAGAUGAGUAUGCGUCCCAUUAGCUAGAUGGUAAGGUAACGGGCUUUACCCAUGGCUACGAUGGGUAGGGGUCCUGAGAGGGAGAUCCCCCCACACUGGUACUGAGACACGGACCAGACUCCUACGGGAGGCAGCAGUGAGGAA